AACGUAGGGGACAAGCGUUAUCCGGAUUUACUGGGCGUAAAGCGCCCGUAGGCGGCUUUUUAAGUUGGACGUGAAAGCUCCCGGCUUAACUGGGAGAGGCCGUUCAAAACUGAGAGGCUAGAGUGAGGCAGAGGAGCGCGGAAUUCCCGGUGUAGUGGUGGAAUGCGUAGAUAUCGGGAGGAACACCAGUGGCGAAAGCGGCGCUCUGGGCCUAAACUGACGCUGAGGGGCGAAAGCGUGGGGAGCGAUCCGG
rnacentral:rRNA from 1 species